GAUGAACGCUGGCGGCGUGCCUAAUACAUGCAAGUCGAGCGAACGGACGAGAAUCUUGCUUCUCUGAUGUUAGCGGCGGACGGGUGAGUAACACGUGGAUAACCUACCUAUAAGACUGGGAUAACUUCGGGAAACCGGAUCUAAUACCGGAUAAUAUUUUGAACCGCAUGGUUCAAAAGUGAAAGACGGUCUUGCUGUCACUUAUAGAUGGAUCCGCGCUGCAUUAGCUAGUUGGUAAGGUAACGGCUUACCAAGGCAACGAUGCAUAGCCGACCUGAGAGGGUGAUCGGCCACACUGGAACUGAGACACGGUCCAGACUCCUACGGGAGGCAGCAGUAGGGAAUCUUCCGCAAUGGGCGAAAGCCUGACGGAGCAACGCCGCGUGAGUGAUGAAGGUCUUCGGAUCGUAAAACUCUGUUAGUAGGGAAGAACAUAUGUGUAAGUAACUGUGCACAUCUUGACGGUACCUAAUCAGAAAGCCACGGCUAACUACGUG
rnacentral:rRNA from 1 species